ensembl:lncRNA
AUUUAUUUCUCAAUCAGUGCUUCUCUCUCCGCGCGCUCAUAAGCGCUUAGCUUUUAGACCUCUUUCUCUUCCCCUCGGGGCUCGCUAACACGACCAGGUGCUCAUUUACAUAACUGCACUAGCUGCGUCCAAUGGCAGCCCUCAAUCAGGUGCUUCUUUGAAUAUUUCAUGAGGCAAUUGACCAAUCCGGAGCGAGUAAAGCAAGGCACCCGUGACCUGGCAGCGCCGCUGUAAAUGAUACUCAGCGCUUACCUCUGAGCGACUUUUAAAAAGUGUUACAGGAACGGAGAGAUUUGGGGAAUAUGAAAUGUAAUAUUGCUGCUAAGCAUGAAAAGCAGGCCUGAUCCUGUGUGGAAUUCACUGUGAAGGAUGGAGAGGGAAGAGAGAAGUGUGGCUGAAAGGAAAAGGAGACACAUGGACAGACAAAACAGGAUGUUUCCUGCAGAAAGGUCUCUACAGGACCCUUCAGGGACUCUGAUUCUUUUAACAUGAAGAGAGAAAAGUGAAGAGAGCCUGAAGAGGGAGAGAGAUCUGGUAUUUCUGGUCUCCUUUAAGUUGCUGGAGUUCAUGCUGUGACUACAGCACAAGUUUCACUUGACUUCCUCUUUCUCUCUCUUCCCUCCACCGCCUCAUUCUUUUCCAUGUGAAUAAACAUGUUUGUCAUUUAUUUGUGGAAGUCUGU